AAAGCAGGACGGCGAGUCCGUUCCCGUGCCGCGGCGUUGCGGUGGGUGAAGUACUCGGCAUUAUUCUGCUUUCAGGACGCAUAGAGGAGGCCAAAGCACCCCUGUGCAGGAGAACUCAAGGAAGGAGAGGCACCCGACCCACUCUGCCGGCUCUGCAAAGAGUGAACACCUUCUGAGGUCUUGAUCGCCAUAUCGUUCAGAAUCUGGGAGCUAGGAUGAGGCAGCUGCGCUAAGUACACACCUGCGCCGUGGCUCUCAUCGUCCAGACUACCGUUGGAGAAGAGACGCCCUGGGACACAGUGGUCCCCCAUCACCCCACCAGCUAGGGCAAUAAAGAAG